rnacentral:ncRNA from 1 species
UGACCUCGGAUCCGAGACGUGAUUACCGCCUGAAUUUAAGCAUUAUUAAGCGGAGGAAAGAAACUACUACAAGGAUUCCCCUAGUAACGGCGAGUGAACGGGGAAGCGAGGCCCAACACCCGAAUCCCUUUGGCGCAAGUCAACGGGAAAUGUGGUGUUAAAGGUAGCCUUCGUGUCAGUCUAGGCGUCUCAAGUCCACCUGAUUGUGGCUCAAGCCCAGAGAGAGGGCUGUAAGGCCCGUAGAGACACGCUCCGACUGAGAUUCCUGGGGUUUACCUACUACGAGUUCGGCUUGUUUGGGAAUGCAGGCCAAAGCGGGUGGUAAACUCCAUCCAAGGCUAAAUACUGGCACGAGUCCGAUAGCGGACAAGUACCGUGAGGGAAGUGAAAAAACUUUGAAGAGAGAGUUCAAUAGUACGUGAAACCGCUUAGAGGCAAACGGAUGGUGCUCAUACUGGCCUGAGGAAUUCAACUGUGACGGUGGCUGGACGAGCUGGCGUUCGAUCUCUCUUUUGGGACGACGGUGCCGGAAUCAGCUCGUUUUGGGGGCUAUCACGCUCCGACUUGGUCACAUUUCUUGGACUGCCUCCGCCACGACCGACGACACUGGCCCCACGCGCUGGGGUAAGGUGACAAACUGCUUCGGGCAAUUUUGUUAUAGACCCGGCACCCCGGCGUCGGACAUGGUUUUGGCCAGGACGUCGAGCUUGCGCGCGCCGCGCUCCUUGUGGGCUCGCAUGUUGGCUAGCUUGGCUGGCGCCCGAUGCUUGCACUGGACAACCAGUACAGGUGACGGUUGUGGUCUUGGUCUCUAGUUGGCCUCUGCGAGUUUGGCGCCUAUAGUCUGUGGUGUACUUGUGGGUAGACUAUCCGACCCGUCUUGAAACACGGACAAGCGGAGUCUAACAUGUGCGCGAGUCAUGGGGAUUCUACGAAACCAAAGGCGCAGUGAAAGUAAAGGCCUGCUUCUCGUAGGCUUGAGGUGGGAUCUCGUGCAUCGCGAAUUGGCGAGCGCACCCAACCGGCCCGUCCUAUCUGUCUCCUGUCAGUGGGCGGCGCAAGAGCGUACACGUUGGGACCGCGAAAGAUGGUGAACUAUGCUUGCGCAGCUCCGGCAGGAGUCAGUGGAAACACUGAUGGAGGAGCGCAGCGUUUCUGACGUGCAAAAUCGAUCGUCAAACGUGAGUAUAGAGGGGGCGAAAGACUAAUCGAACCAUCUAGUAGCUGGUUUCCCUCCGAAGUUUCCCUCAGGAUAGCUGCACUCGGGAAACAGUUUUAUCGGUAAAGCGAAUGAUUAGAGGCAUUGGGGUCGAAACGACCUCGACCUAUUUCUCAAAACUUUAAAUGGGUAAGAUGCUCGUCUCGCUUAAUUGGAGGCGGGCUUCACCUCUCUAUAAACGUGAAUGUGAGUGCCCAGUGGGCCAUUUUGGUAAGCAGAACUGGCGCUGUGGGAUGAACCAAACGCGCGGUUAAGGCGCCAAUUGCGGACGCUCAUGAGACACCACAAAAGGUGUUGGUCGAUACUGACACAGCAGGACGGUGGCCAUGGAAGUCGGAACCCGCUAAGGAGUGUGUAACACUCACCUGCCGGAAUCAACCAGCCCUGAAAAUGGAUUGGCGCUGGAGCGUCGGGCCUAUUACCGUGCCGUUGGGCGCGAAGCAGACAAAUUAAUCUGUGUGGAUGUCCCCAACGAGUAGGAGGGUCGCCGUGGUGAGCGCAGAAGGUGCGGCCCGUGAGGCCGGCUGGAGCCGCCACGGGCGCAAGAUCUUGGUGGUAGUAGCAAUUACUCAAGUGAGAACCUUGAGGACUGAAGUGGAGAAGGUUCCAUGUGAACAGGCAGUUUGAACAUGGGUCACAGGCGGGUCCUAAGCGAUCGGGUAACUCCGUACCCUAGAACGAGGGUGACAACUAUCACUGAAAUACUGUGAAGUGUUAUAGCCCCUCGCGGAGCGAAAGGGAAUCGUGUUUAAUAUUCACGACCCUUACGUGGAGAUCGCCCUUUCGGGGGGCAAGUGCGGUAACGCAAACGAACACAGAGACGUCGGCUGGCAGAGCCCCGCGGAGACAGCGUGGUCCCCCGAGUCGCUCUCGGAGAUUUUCUUUGUUCUGUCUAGCGGUACCGCCUGAAUCGGCUUGUCCGGAGAUGAGGGGGCUGUCGGCCUUCCGUUAAAGCAGCGCGGGUCUUUGCGCUGUCCGGUGCACUCUAGUCGGCCCUUGAAAAUCUGUGGGAGACAGUGUGAUUUUCACGGUAGGCCGUACCCAUAUCCGCAGCAGGUCUCCAAGGUGAACAGCCUCUAGUCCUAGAAAAAUGUAGGGUAAGGGAAGUCCCGGCAAAAUGAUCCGUAACUUCGGUGAAAAGGAUUGGCUCUGAGGGCUGGUCGGAAUGGGCUGGCGUAAGAAGCUGUUCCGGUUUUGGUGAGGACUGGGUUGAGGCUUUCGCGGCUUUACUCGGACCAUGCCGAGACCAGGCAGUAGACGACGACGUCAGCUGUGCUUGUCGUGUUUCGGCGCGGCAAGCUUCGUCCGGCAAACAAACAGCCAACUCAGACACUGGCACGGACUAUAGGGGAAUCCGACUGUCUAAUUUAAAACAAAGCAUUGCGAUGGCUGUUGCUCGGUGUUGACGCAAUGUCUGAUUUCUGCCAAGUGCUCUGAAUGUCAAGCUGAAGAAAUUCAAAUCAAG